AACGCAGCAUUACAUCAUUGUGCAAAAAGUAACCUGGAUUGUACGUACCUUAGAUUUGUAUUGAUAUCAUUGGUGAUUCAAUUUAUUUACCCUCACUUCAAUUUCCACUUUACUUCCACUUCUGAUUCUUCUCAUUUGUUUUUUAGUCCGUCCUUGCUCUUUCUCUUUCUCUGCCAGUUUGACAUUUUGAUAUCUUCUUUGUUAUUCAUUCUCUCAGCAAAAAGUUAUUAAUUUCCCUAAAUUGGUUUGACUUCACAUAGGAAACACUCUUAUGUCUCCAGCUCCAGAACGCUCAAAAUCAACUUUCAUACGGUUUCCGUCUCCUGCUUCAGUUUCAGAGAUAAAAAUAAUAUGCUCUUCUCCUUCUCCUUCAAAGGUCGUCUACCUCUUCGAGUGAGUUUCUCAACUUUUUCUAUCUUCCUUUUCUCUUGGAGUUCGCUGAUGUCUUUUGUGCAUGCCGCCUUCUCUGUCCUUGUGAGCUUUUCGGCAUUCUUUCUCUGUUUAAGAUAUCCAGUUGUUGCUAAUUGAACUUUGGUAGACCUCUAUUACAGUCAUCUACUUUUCUGAUAGGUUUUUCAUUUUUGUUGGAUUUUUUACAUACUUUAUUUAAUUUAAGAAUACAUGUUUGGAAUAAGAUACAUUCAUACAAAAUUUUGAUAUUUGAUGAACACAAACUUUAUUUUCGGGCAAUCAACCUUAAUUCCCUAUUUCCCCUCUUUAUUUUGGGAAUUUUGUUUAUCUAUUUUUCUGUUAAUUUCUACAAAUAUCUACUCACUUCAUUCCUAUUUGAAGCUCUAAGAUUGUUGGUAUGGGGAUAAGUAAGUGAUGUAAGCAAGAUUAAUAACGACUUGAUUACAAAUGACAAAAUAUUGAACUAGAGUAGUAUACAUUACACUCUUUUUUAAAUCUCAUUGUUUGAGUUAUUUGAGGCACCUAACCCUCAGGGUUGGCCUGGUGGCAAUUGACUUGAGCCUUGGGGUUUGCUCCCUUUCAAGGUCUCAUGUUCGAAACCCACUGGGUGCAAACAAUUUCUGAGGGUCAUCGGACUGGGUAACACCUGAAUUAACCGUGGUGCACUUGCGGGAAACUCCUUGCCGAGGGCCUGUGCACCCCGGGAUUAGUCGGGGCUCUUAGAAACUCGGACACCCGGUGCAAAUCCCAAAAAAAAAAAAGUUAUUUGAGGCACCCCAAAUGUUCGACGAUAUGUCAAAAAUAAUUAACUACAUAAUAUUUUUUUUUUCCUUUUGACUGCUCUUCUAUCGUUCAUUGUGUGUAUUUCUACUACAAGAUUGCCUCUGUUUGUUUCUAAUUUAAAAACGUGCCACUUUUUAUCUAACUUUACCUUUUCAAGAAAAAAUAAAGAUGACUUUAAAGUUGCUCAAAAUUACCCAAAUUGUAAAUAUAAUUUUAUGAAGUUAUAAUUGAACUAUUUGGAACAUGAGUAUUGAAAGAUAAAGAUAUUGCUGAGCCGAAGGUUGGGGGUUUAGAUUAUCCAUUUCUUUGCAUGACCUUCUUUUGAUAGACUUGAGUGUUCCAAUGAUGGUGAAGAAGUUGGUCGAUUAAAAUAGACAAGAAGGAGGACAUUUAUUACGCUAUUUUUGUACCUUGUGAAGAGCAAAAUCAACUGCUCCUCUUUGUUGUAAGAUUACUUGAAAGUUAAAACAUCAGAGGUUUAAUACAAUAGGUGAUUGAUGGUCAAAAGUUGGAAACAAGAGAAGUGUUAAGAAAAGCGAUGAAGAUGUUGUGUGUUUACAUAUUUAACCUAAGGUUUCACUACUUGUGCCACUUAGAUCUCCAGGAUAUAUGAAGUGUUAAUGCCAUCUAUAUUCGAGCUGAUGAAAUCUUAACACUUUGGGGAGCAUAGGUCAUCCUGAAUGGAGUAAAAGUAGCAUAAGACAUUAUGAGUGGAAGAGCUCAAGGCGAAUGUCUUGAAUAGCGACAAAGGUUAUACAAAGUUACAAUAUUGUUUGUAUUCUGUAUUUAAAUCCAAUUUAGUGAGUCACACUCUUCGUUUUACUUCUUUGAUAUUUGUUCGUGGUUGAGAAUAUUUUGUGGAUGUAGUAAUCUAACAGCUAUUACUUAUGUUUGUGUUCAAGAAAUUCAUUGAAACAUAUAUCAUUUGUUUGCAUCUGUUUCAAUUGCAGUUUGGUAUUAACCGCCUAAUUUUGUGUCUAUCAGUAUCAGAAAAAAUUAGAAUUAUACCAAAUUUAAAAUUUUACUUCAACAAAAUAAAAAGACUUGGAACAGGAAUGUCGACAAAUAGAGGGUCAAGAAGAGUAAGUGAUAUCAUUCUCUAUUCUUGCUUCUUCUUUUUUAACCCCUGGUCUAUAUUUCUUCUUUUCAUUUUGUUUUGGUAUUGAAAUUGGCAGCUCAAGGGUGUUGAAAAGAAAAGAACAUGUGGUACCUGUAAUUCUGGAGAUUAGUCAAAUUAUAAAUGGCAAUAUCACCAACACUAUGAAUGUCUUUGUUUGUCAUAUGAUAGUGUUUGCAAAUAACUGCUUGGUUUUGCAGAAAUUGAAGCUAUAACUUUGGUUCUUGUAAGUGUUUGCCAAUUUUGAUGUUAAUAUUUUUGAAAAGCAAUGUGGUCAUGUGUAGGGAGAUUGUAAUGUUACUGUCCAUGUAUAGUCCUGCACGCAGCGUUGAAGAUGUCUUAACUUUUAGAAAGGAACUUUUCCCCGAGACAGUAGUGGUGCUUCUUGGCCAUAAUAUUAGAUUGCUUUCUUAUAUCUAGAAACCCAAAUGUGAGGUGAUAUGAUGUAGACAAUUCUCAUGGUUAAUAGCAUAUAUUUAACUAGUAUUAUUUUUCUUAAGGUUCUUGAUACUAUUAUAUUCAUUAGUGCUGUUGUAGCUGGAAUUUCAAAUAUUUGGUGGUUUAGGGUUGCGGACAGUUCCAGUAGUUAAUAAUUUGAUACUUGUUAACCGUGAAUCAUAUUCUGAUUACUUGGUUGUGUAGCAAUCUGGAAUUCAAAUUGUGAGGUGGUUUACAUAAGUUAAUAAUGUAUCCCGUUCUUAUUUUGGGAUAGAUUUGAUCAUGUUAUAAUAUUCUUUCACGUUAUUGCAGCUGAAAUCCCAAAUGUGAUAUUGUUGCAGCAAAUCAUUCACAUGGGAACAAUGCUUGUGAAGAGCAUAAGAUGGUGGAUGUGCUUUAUGUAAUAGUAGUAGUUUUACUCCAUCCAGUUUGUUGUACAUAUCUGUAGUGUGGUUUGUUUUCAUAGAAACAACGUGACUUGACUAUGUUAAUGUUUUGGUUUCUUUUUAAUUCUAAGCUCUAUUUCAGCUCCCAAUUCUGCCGUCUUCAACAUUUUUCAAACAAAACUAAUUCUAUGUCCUUUGGUUGUUUGAAGUCAGCUUUGUAAUUAUAUUUGCCGGUACUGAGAAAAGUUCAACUUUUUCCUUAUUUAGUUUUUGAAGUGGAC
rnacentral:lncRNA from 1 species